rnacentral:snoRNA from 1 species
AACUCAUGAUGAGGGCACCUUCUCAGAAGAUCCUUAAAUCUCUCUCAUGCAUCAUACAAUGUCUUAAGCUCAAGUUGAACAAAAGAAGAGAUGUCAUUCCUCAACUU